ensembl:lncRNA
ACAUUUUCCAUGCAGUGCUUUCGCACCAAAGGUCAACCUGCUUGUUUUCUCAAUGCUGAUAUGAAAGCAAAUGUUUUUGAUAAUUAUAACACUGACCACUGAAUUAUGUUGUCCCUUGGACUCCAGCAUGUGUAGUGUGCAUAUCAUGUACCUGGGUGUGUGCAUACCAUGUACCUGAGUGUGAAUGUGCUGAGGUAGGCAUGAGUCAGAGCUCCCGGGCACAUGGUGUGUGCAUGGGAGGCAGCUCCAGCAUCGACCCGAAGCUGAGUGCAUGUCCUGGCAAAGGAGGCAGUUCACCAGGCCACUUCUGCUUCAGCACUACAGGGGCUGCUGGGAAUAUCAAGAAGGCACUGAGAUAACCAAGCUUGGAAGAAAAAAUACUUACGUGCAGAUCGCAGGGCCUGAUAACCGAGCAUCUGCCAACCGACACCGCACGCCGGACCACACAAUUAAUGCCAUGAAUAAAUAGCACAAAAGAGUUUGGAUUCUUUAUACUCUUUGAGACAAUUCCCUGUUUUACCCUUCAAGGAUUUCUUUUAUGUUCGAAUAAGGUUGCUUUUAAUGAAAUUUAAACUCAUCAGAGGAAAUCAAAACCCUCAAAUCAGAUUACAAAUUGAUUUUUUUUUGGUCACUUGUCGUUAUACAAUGUACUGCCGUAAGUUUUACAGGAAAAGGAAGAGAAAGUGCCGAGUCUUGAGUAAGAGCACGCAGACAGUCUUUGAAAAGGCACAUGAAAGAGGAAUGUUCCCAAAAUUCCACAACAAAGUUUGAAAGAGUCGAUGUGUAUCUUAACAAGUGAUCGUUAAUGUGACGUUCAUAAUGUGCUGGUUAUAAAGGAAAAACUAGACUAGAACUUUGAAUUGCAUACAUUCAAUCACCAAACCCGAAUGAUCUCUGUUUUUCUCAUAUAUAAUGCUAGAUGUCAUUGUUACAUACGAGGAAUUAAAUGUUAUUUCUCAGAGCUCAGGUCAAUAGCAGCAGAAGGCGAAUCUGAGAGUGGGUCUGGUACCCCUUCCCAUUGGUGACGUUAGCAGUGCAGUUCGGCCAGCUGAAAUAUGAUGCUGGCAACAUAUGCUAUAUAUAGUAAUGAUCUUUUUGUUUCCUUC